UUUUAACUUCGUGAUAGUGUUUUUAGUGUUACUCUAAGCCCAGGGGAGUUUCUUGAAGCAAAAAACAAACAAAAGAAAAAACCCAUCAGGGAAAUCAUUCUUUGCUGAUAAGGAUGCUCCUUGAACAUUUAUUAAUAAUCCUCUGGAUACAGCUGACAUGGGUCAGUGGUCAACAGCUGAAUCAGAGUCCUCAGUCUAUGUCUAUCCAGGAAGGAGAGGAUGUCUCCAUGAACUGCACUUCUUCAAGCACAUUUAACCCUUUGCUAUGGUACAAGCAGGACGCUGGGGAAGGUCCUGUCCUCUUGAUAACCUUAUAUAUGGGUGGUGAAUUGACCAGGAAUGGGAGACUGACUGCUCAGUUUGGUAUAACCAGAAAGGACAGCUUCCUGAAUAUCUCAGCCUCUGUGCCUGAUGAUGUAGGCACCUACUUCUGUGCCGGGCAACACAGUGCUCCCCAAGCACCUACAGCCUGUACUCAAACUUGCAGCUGGGACUGUAGUCUCUAUGCUGCCUUCAGCUCUUAGUCCUCUUGGCAUGAAAUGUAAUUAUGCAUGCUACCUAUGACCCUGUUAUUCCAUUACUCUAUUAUUCCAACUCUCCUUUAUCCAAGGAUUUGUCCAAAGAUUGUGCUCUUUGCUUGAUGAAUUUGCCCCUGUCGAUUCAUUUUUAAUGUAUGUAAUAAAUAUCUUUGUUAUUUCUGUCAAGAUAUGAGGAGAACUGAUCAACAC